CAGCCGUAAACAAUGUGCGUUAGGUGUGUCGGUAACCACGUGUUACUGAUGCGCCGAAGAGAAAUCGUGAAACGCACCACCUGGGAAGUACGGUCGCAAGGCUGAAACUUAAAGGAAUUGGCGGGGGAGCACCACAACAGGUGGAGCCUGCGGUUUAAUUGGACUCAACGCCGGACAUCUCACCGGAUAAGACAGCUGAAUGAUUGCCGGGCUGAAGACCCUGCAUGACUAGCUGAGAGGUGGUGCAUGGCGUCAGUGACU
rnacentral:rRNA from 1 species